rnacentral:rRNA from 1 species
AUCUAUGGCCAUACCACCAUGAACAUGCCCGAUCAUGCCCGAUCUCAUGAUCUCGGAAGCUAAGCAGGGUUGGGCCUGAUUAGUACUUGAAUGGGAGUUCUUGUUCCAUGUCCAGCUAUGCUAAAGUUG